UGCAGCUUCGUCAAAUUCAGGACCACCUGAAGUGGUGACUCCUGGCCAAUGGGCUGCUACAGGAGCUUGUAGUUCAUGGGCCUCACGUCCUCUCUGGUGGGAUGUGGGGAUAUAUGUGCUGCAGACACUG